CUGUGCAGAAUUGCUGGCCACAAGGCUAGGG
rnacentral:piRNA from 1 species